GUAUUCUAUAUCCUGUCAGUGAUGUUGUCCAGGUGUAUUCUAUAUCCUGUCAGUGAUGUUGUCCAGGUGUAUUCUAUAUCCCGUUAGUGAUGUUGUCCAGGUGUAUUCUAUAUCCCGUUAGUGAUGUUGUCCAGGUGUAUUCUAUAUCCUGUCAGUGAUGUUGUCCAGGUGUAUUCUAUAUCCCGUUAGUGAUGUUGUCCAGGUGUAUUCUAUAUCCCGUUAGUGAUGUUGUCCAGGUGUAUUCUAUAUCCUGUCAGUGAUGUUGUCCAGGUGUAUUAUAUAUCCUGUCAGUGAUGUUGUCCAGGUGUAUUCUAUAUCCUGUCAGUGAUGUUGUCCAGGUGUAUUCUAUAUCCUGUCAGUGAUGUUGUCCAGGUGUAUUCUAUAUCCUGUCAGUGAUGUUGUCCAGGUGUAUUCUAUAUCCUGUCAGUGAUGUUGUCCAGGUGUAUUCUAUAUCCUGUCAGUGAUGUUGUCCAGGUGUAUUCUAUAUCCUGUCAGUGAUGUUGUCCAGGUGUAUUCUAUAUCCUGUCAGUGAUGUUGUCCAGGUGUAUUCUAUAUCCUGUCAGUGAUGUUGUCCAGGUGUAUUCUAUAUCCUGUCAGUGAUGUUGUCCAGGUGUAUUCUAUAUCCUGUCAGUGAUGUUGUCCAGGUGUAUUCUAUAUCCUGUCAGUGAUGUUGUCCAGGUGUAUUCUAUAUCCUGUCAGUGAUGUUGUCCAGGUGUAUUCUAUAUCCUGUCAGUGAUGUUGUCCAGGUGUAUUCUAUAUCCUGUCAGUGAUGUUGUCCAGGUGUAUUCUAUAU